AUGGAGACCAGAAUGAAUGGCACAACGAGGGCUAAACUGUCUCCUUCCUCUAGUCAAUGAAAUUGAUCUGCCCGUGCAGAAGCGGGCAUAUGCACAUAAGACGAGAAGACCCUAUGGAGCUUAAGACGUCGAGGCAGCCCGCGUUAAUGACCUCCCCUUACGGCACUAAACAUGAACGGCUUAUUCUGCCCCUGUCUUUGGUUGGGGCGACCGCGGGGAAACGCAAAACCCCCGAGUGGAAUGGGAUAAUCCCCGAGAUAAGGCCCUCAGGCCUACCCACCAAAAAAUCUGACCAGCAAGAUCCGGAAAUCCAAUCAACGGACCCAGUUACCCUAGGGAUAACAGCGCAUUCCCCUUUUAGAGCCCACAUCGACAAGGGGGUUUACAACCUCGAUUUUGGAUCAGGACCUCCUAGUGGUGCACCCCCUACUAAGGGUUCGUUUGUUCAACGAUAAAGGUCCUACUUGAUCUGAGUUCAAACCGGAGGUCAUAGCUUUUUUCCC
rnacentral:rRNA from 1 species